rnacentral:lncRNA from 1 species
UCAGAUUUCCUCUAAAUGCUUUGGUUUUUGAGUUAUAAGCCAAAAACUGCAUUUUACCCCUAUGUUCUAUUUUUAGCCGUGGGGCCAUCUUGGUUGGUUGACCAGGUCACGCCAACAUUUUUAAACUAGAUACCCCAAAGAUGAUUGUGGCCAAGUUUGGAUUAAUUUGGCCAAGUAGUUUCAGAGGAAAAGAUUUUUGUAAAAGAUUACUUAGAUUUAUGAAAAAUGGUUAAAAAUUGACUAUAAAGGGCAAUAACUCCUAAAUGGGUCAAAUGACCAUUUCGGUCAUGUUGACUUAUUUGUAAAUCUAACUUUGCUGAACAUUAUUGCUGUUUACAGUUUAUCUCUAUCUAUAAUAAUAUUCAAGAUAAUAAC